AUUUGAAUAGUUUAAUUUAAAAAUAUUGAUUUGUGAUGUCAAAGUUAUAAAUAUUAUUUCAAAUA
rnacentral:tRNA from 1 species